AUACGAAGGGUGCAAGCGUUAAUCGGAAUUACUGGGCGUAAAGAGUACGUAGGUGGUUUGUUAAGUCAGAUGUGAAAGCCCCGGGCUCAACCUGGGAACUGCAUUUGAAACUGGCAAACUAGAGUAUGGUAGAGGGGGGUAGAAUUUCUAGUGUAGCGGUGAAAUGCGUAGAUAUUAGAAGGAAUACCAGUGGCGAAGGCGGCCACCUGGACCAAUACUGACACUGAGGUACGAAAGCGUGGGUAGCGAACAGGAUUAGAUACCCCAGUAGUCC
rnacentral:rRNA from 1 species